GCUCAGUACUCCACUGGAAAUGAGUACUCCACUGGAAAUGAAGAGGUCCCUGGUUCGAUACCAGGACCAGGCA
rnacentral:tRNA from 1 species